rnacentral:rRNA from 1 species
GUAGUCCACGCCGUAAACGAUGAGUGCUAAGUGUGGGAGGGUUUCCGCCUUUCAGUGCUGCAGCACACGCAUUAAGCACUCCGCGUGGGGAGUACGCCCGCAAGGUUGAAACUCAAAGGAAUUGGCGGGGGCCCGCACAAGCGGUGGAGCAUGUUGUUUAAUUAGAAGCAACGCGAAGAACCUUACCAGGUCUUGACAUCCUUUGACCACUCUAGAGAUAGAGUUUCCCCUUCGGGGGCAAAGUGACAGGUGGUGCAUGGUUGUCGUCAGCUCGUGUCGUGAGAUGUUGGGUUAAGUCCCGCAACGAGCGCAACCCUUAUUGUUAGUUGCCAUCAUUUAGUUGGGCACUCUAGAGAGACUGCCGGUGACAAACCGGAGGAAGGUGGGGAUGACGUCAAAUCAUCAUGCCCCUUAUGACCUGGGCUACACACGUGCUACAAUGGGAAGUACAACGGGUUGCGAAGUCGCGAGGGUAAGCUAAUCUCUUAAAGCUUAUCUCAGUUCGGAUUGUAGGCUGCAACUCGCCUACAUGAAACCGGAAUCGCUAGU